UUUUAAUUACCACAUGUCUACAAAAUAGCAUUCAUCAAAUUUCAAAGAUAAAAUUCCAAAUUAUUUAUUUUUCGUAUAAAAGAUGCUGUGAAGCCAGCGUGCGCUCUGAAGAUGGCGCCGGGUUCAAAGCUGAGAGCAGAAGGACUGAUGUGUGGAUUUUACGCUGGUUGUAAGGCAGCGGAGAGUCUUAGAGGUGCUCGGAGAAGUGAGGCGAUCUUCACUCGAUGCUUGCUCGGUAACUACUACUUUAUUCAUCCAAAAAUGUCUAAGUGCAAAACUUUGCGUACAUACUUGCCCAAGGGCAGUGACCCUUCGUAAUUUGUAAUCUUAAGAUAGCUUAAUUACUAUACAGCGAUAUAUAUAUAAUUGUUAGCACAAGGGUCAGUGUGUGACGUGAUGGACCCUUGCUCAUCUGCGAAUGUGUUUACUAUCUACUGUAUCUACGUAACUACUGUACUUUCUAAACAUUAAGUGUGUUGAUAUACAUAUUACGAUGUUAGUCUUGUGAUUGCACUAUUGUAUAACUUAAUUGUAUUUAUUGUCUAAGUUCCCGGCGACGCACUAUCGGCACUAAAUAACACACCACACAGAAUUCCUAAGAAGUUGGAAAACUUCUGUCGCUUAUCUGUUUGCGGUGCAAACAGAUGCGAAACAAACUAAAAUAUACCUAUCUGAAUCCGCAGUACACAACAACUCUUUAACGACUCAGCAAUAUGAAGUUACUUCUGGUAUUUUUCUUGGGCGCACUUGUGUUUCAGUAUGCCUCUGCUAUGCUUGGCCCUGAUGUAAUUGGCGAUUGCCAUACGAGUAGAGUGUAUGAAUUAUUAAUUGGCCACGAUCCUUAUGAGAGAAAUCAUAAACUGUAUACAAGAAUUAGCAUGUGUGUCGAAGCGAUUAAGGGCCAACUGACGGAGGUUCAAAUUAGCAAACUUGAACAAUUUUGCAACACUCUUCGUACUGUAGAUGAGGGAAAUUGUUGGUAUGGUCAAAACUGCAUCCGUUUGCUCCGUGAUGAAAAGCACGUAUUCAGGACAAUUAAAUCUUCCAAACGAAUUCUCAAAUCGGCUAAGGCAUUAACUCCUGGUUGCAAGGGAAUUAUAGCUGAUAUUGAAGAUCUGGAAUCAAUUUGCGAUAUCAUGUUAAAAAAACAACCAGCUGAAUGAUAAGCGUAUAAUAAAAAAUACCAUCGUGUACCAA